rnacentral:rRNA from 1 species
CAGUAGCCGCGGUAAUACGGAGGGUGCGAGCGUUAAUCGGAAUAACUGGGCGUAAAGGGCACGCAGGCGGCGACUUAAGUGAGGUGUGAAAGCCCCGGGCUUAACCUGGGAAUUGCAUUUCAUACUGGGUCGCUAGAGUACUUUAGGGAGGGGUAGAAUUCCACGUGUAGCGGUGAGAUGCGUAGAGAUGUGGAGGAAUACCGAAGGCGAAGGCAGCCCCUUGGGAAUGUACUGACGCUCAUGUGCGAAGGCGUGGGGAGCAAACGGGAUUAGAUACCCCAGUAGUCCCUGUCUCUUAUAC